CUCCUCUCUCACUCGUGCCGCUCCUUCUCUUCCUCCCACGCUGCCUCCCUCUCUCCCUCGAAACCCUAACCCGCGCCGCCUCCAUGCCCCCCCGCCGGCCGCCACCGGCCGCCGCCGCCGCUCACUCGGGCACCCAGCCACGACCUCACACCGCCCCUCUCCUCUUCCUCCCGCCUCACCUCUCUCUCUCCUUCCAAACCCUAGACCACCUCCCUGCCCCGUCCCCGUCACCGAGGAGGAGCUCGCGCUCGGGGAGGAUGAGGAGACGGCCGCCUCCAUGGAGCAGCAGAAGGAGGAGGGGCACGCGGCGGCGGCGACCAAGAGGCGCAUGGCGCAGCCGACCAAGAAGGCCGGGAACAUGGCCACCGGCGACAAGGAGCCCGAGUUCCUCGACGAGCCGUCCUCGCCGACGAGGCCCGCUACAGGGAUGGAUGAGAGGAUCUGAGGUGGAUAUUCAGGUCAGGAAGCUCUACUGCAACAACAGGGCUGACCCGAAGCUACCAAUCAGCAUGGAGGAUGCCGGACGGAGUGCUGAGGAGUUUGCAAUAGCUGAAUCAAAGGGAGUGCCACUUGUCCAUGUUGGUCAGGACACACGCUUGGACUAUCGAGUUAUUGAUGUCCGAACACUAGCAAAUCAAGCCAUUUUCCGUAUGCAGCAUCAAGUUGAAAACAUUGGUGAAAGCAACACCAUCGGCGUUCGUCGCCUUCAUCCUGGACCUCCCCAUGUUGUCUCUGUACUGCCCAACGGUACAUCAUAUGCUUCUCCUCCACGGUCGAUUGUUCACUAGGCUGGCCCAUGGAAGCACCACCGCUCAGUGGCCUUAGCGCUGGACCACGAGGUUGGAUAGGGCAAGCAUGUGUAUUCUUUAAUUAUUGGAGGCUUUCAUAUUCAUAUAUCAAUACAAGGCGGGAUAUGAUGCAGUUCUUUGUGAUUUGAAAGCAACUGGUGACUCAAUAUCAAUCAGUUCACAGAGGGAACUCUUCUCGACCGUGUCGGCGACAGGAACAGGGAAACGCCUGUCCACGGUGCCACCAAUGAACAAGGCCGAGACAAGCAUCGUAAGGAUCCAGUUAGAAUGAUGACUGAUAUCUUGUUAAAGCAUCUUGGGCUUCACAAGGCCAUCUGAGACUCGGGCUCAAUGAGAACACGAUGAGGUACAUGGAGAACUCCAGAAACACUAUAGUGAAGGAUCUAAACUAUGGCAGGCUGAGCAGAAUGCAGAAAGACUUUUGCUUAUCUAAGACUCAGGAUCGAUGAGGCAUUUGACAUGAUAAACAAGUGUCAAAGGUUACUUGUAUGAUCUGAGAUACAUGAGCUCCUUCUCAGAUCAGCUUCAUAAUGUGAUAGCACAUGGCUUUCCUCCUACCCGUGCCGUGGAUAUAUUGACAAACGUGACCCUUAUGAAUAUUGAAGUGGUGGCACAUAACCUUGAGAGCAGAAGCAAUCGUCUGUAGAAGAGGCUGCAUGCCAUAAAAAGACCGUCUUUAGGCGCAACAGCAUGAGAUGUUUGCACCAAUUGAUUUCUUCACACCAAGGCCAUGGCGUUGAUCAUCUAUGGACAUCACAAAUCAUCUAUUCUAACUCUCGCAAGUACGAGAUGAUAUAUGAUGCCACCAGCUCCUGUGAUGUACCGUGUAAACUACUGUGUGAUCUCCCUCUCCUUUUGUGAACACGUCCCCUUCGGCACGUCUAUUCAUACUUUUGCACUCAAUAUUUACGUGUAUGAAUAUUGCAUCCUUUAAUUUACCCUGUAUAUGAACAUUACAUCCUUCAAAUGUGGUGUACUAUAUUUUGGUAUCCAU
rnacentral:rRNA from 1 species